rnacentral:rRNA from 1 species
GCUCAGGAUGAACGCUAGCUACAGGCUUAACACAUGCAAGUCGAGGGGUAGCAGGGUAACAAUACCGCUGACGACCGGCGCACGGGUGAGUAACACGUAUCCAACCUUCCCAUAACUCGGAGAUAGCCUUUCGAAAGAAAGAUUAAUACCCGAUAGUACUUUUUCAAGGCAUCUUGAGAAAGUUAAAGAUUUAUUGGUUAUGGAUGGGGAUGCGUUCCAUUAGAUAGUUGGUGAGGUAACGGCUCACCAAGUCUUCGAUGGAUAGGGGUUCUGAGAGGAAGGUCCCCCACAUUGGUACUGAGACACGGACCAAACUCCUACGGGAGGCAGCAGUGAGGAAUAUUGGUCAAUGGGCGAGAGCCUGAACCAGCCA